UACGUAGAUUUCAUUUUUUCAGUGUGACAAAAGUUUUAUUUUGGCUUAGGAUUUGGCUGUAAUAAUUAUGUAUAUGCAAUUCAUAGAGCAGGAAUUCUUAGAAAGAUUGGUUUGCAGUAUAUAAUAUUAAGUAUUAGGUGACCCUAGACUUAGAAAUUAUUAGGAGUACAAACUUAAUUUGUGCCAGCAGUUGCGGUUAUACAAAUUGUACUAGUCAAUUUUAUUUAAUAUAAUUAAAUGUGGAAUAUUUUAAUUGAUAGUUAAACUUAUAAGGUGAAAUUUUAAGUUUAAUUAAUUUAAUGAAGUGUUAUUGAAGUUAAUAAAUUUUUGUUAAAACUAGGAUUAGAUACCCUAUUAUUUUAAAUGUAAUAUUGUAGUUAAAAUUAUUAAUAGUUAUGGUCUUUAAAAUUAAAAAAUUUGGCGGUAUUUUAGUCUAUUCAGAGGAACCUGUUUUUUAAUUGAUAAUCCACGAUGAGCUUUACUUUAAAUUUUAACUUGUAUAUCGCCGUAGUUAGAAUAUUUUAGGAGAAGAAAAAUGUUCAGCUAAUCAAAUUAGAUUAGAAUCCAGGUCAAGGUGCAGUUUAUUUUAAAGUUAAAAUGGGUUACAUUGUAUAAAUAUUUGGUGCUAAGCUUGAAAAGCCUAGCUAAAUUGGAUUUGAAAGUAAUUUUAUAUAUUUAUUUAUAAUGAUUAUGCUCUAAAAUAUGCACAUAUCGCCCGUCGCUUUCAUUUAAGAUGGAAUAAGUCGUAACAAAGUAGGCCUAUUGGAAAAUGGGCCUAGAAUG
rnacentral:ncRNA from 1 species